AUUGAACGCUGGCGGCAUGCCUUACACAUGCAAGUCGAACGGCAGCACGGGUGCUUGCACCUGGUGGCGAGUGGCGAACGGGUGAGUAAUACAUCGGAACAUGUCCUGUAGUGGGGGAUAGCCCGGCGAAAGCCGGAUUAAUACCGCAUACGAUCUACGGAUGAAAGCGGGGGACCUUCGGGCCUCGCGCUAUAGGGUUGGCCGAUGGCUGAUUAGCUAGUUGGUGGGGUAAAGGCCUACCCAGGCGACGAUCAGUAGCUGGUCUGAGAGGACGACCAGCCACACUGGGACUGAGACACGGCCCAGACUCCUACGGGAGGCAGCAGUGGGGAAUUUUGGACAAUGGGGGAAAGCCUGAUCCAGCAAUGCCGCGUGUGUGAAGAAGGCCUGCGGGUUGUAAAGCACCUUUGUCCGGAAAGAAAUCCUUGGCCCUAAUACGGGCGGGGGAUGACGGUACCGGAAGAAUAAGCACCGGCUAACUACGUG
rnacentral:rRNA from 1 species